rnacentral:tRNA from 2 species
GGGGAGUUAGCUCAGCGGGAGAGCGCCCGCCUGAAAAGCGGGAUGUCGCGGGUUCAAAUCCCGCACUCUCGG